CCUACGGGUGGCUGCCGUGGGGAAUAUUGGACAAUGGGCGAAAGCCUGAUCCAGCCAUGCCGCGUGUGUGAAGAAGGCCUUCGGGUUGUAAAGCACUUUCAGUGGGGAAGAAAGCCUUGGGGCUAAUACCCUCGAGGAAGGACAUCACCCACAGAAGAAGCACCGGCUAACUCCGUGCCAGCAGCCGCGGUAAUACGGAGGGUGCGAGCGUUAAUCGGAAUUACUGGGCGUAAAGCGCGCGUAGGCGGUCUGAUAAGCCGGUUGUGAAAGCCCCGGGCUCAACCUGGGAACGGCAUCCGGAACUGUCAGGCUAGAGUGCAGGAGAGGAAGGUAGAAUUCCCGGUGUAGCGGUGAAAUGCGUAGAGAUCGGGAGGAAUACCAGUGGCGAAGGCGGCCUUCUGGACUGACACUGACGCUGAGGUGCGAAAGCGUGGGUAGCAAACAGGAUUAGAUACCCCAGUAGUC
rnacentral:rRNA from 1 species